UACGAAGGGGGCUAGCGUUGCUCGGAAUCACUGGGCGUAAAGCGCACGUAGGCGGAUUUUUAAGUCAGGGGUGAAAUCCUGGAGCUCAACUCCGGAACUGCCUUUGAUACUGGGAAUCUCGAGUCCGGGAGAGGUGAGUGGAACUGCGAGUGUAGAGGUGAAAUUCGUAGAUAUUCGCAAGAACACCAGUGGCGAAGGCGGCUCACUGGCCCGGUACUGACGCUGAGGUGCGAAAGCGUGGGGAGCAAACAGG
rnacentral:rRNA from 1 species